rfam:Pseudoalteromonas tunicata D2 scf_1099591001440 genomic scaffold, whole genome shotgun sequence.
GUUCGUAAAGGGCAAACUUAGUGAAAAUUAAGGACGCAAAGCUAUUGGUCUAAGGGUAUUUACCUAUGAUUGCAAAGCUGCCAAC